rnacentral:rRNA from 1 species
GACGACGCUGGCGGCGUGGAUUAGGCAUGCAAGUCGAACGGUAUCAGUCCUUCGGGGUGAGAGAGUGGCGAACUGGUGAGUAACACGUAGGUUAUCUACCCUCAAGACGGGGACAACCCAGGGAAACUUGGGCUAAUACCGGAUGUGAGCAACUUUAGUUGUUUGAAAGGUGGCGUAAGCUGUCGCUUGGGGAUGAGCCUGCGUCCUAUUAGUUAGUUGGUGAGGUAACGGCUCACCUAGGCAAUGAUAGGUAGGCGGCCUUAACGGGUGGUCGCCCACACUGGGAUUGAGAUACGGCCCAGACUCCUACGGGAGGCAGCAGUAGGGAAUUUUCGGCAAUGGGGGGAACCCUGACCGAGCAAUGCCGCGUGAAUGAAGACGAUCUUCGGAUUGUAAAGUUCUGUUAUUGGGAAAGAAAGAUAUGGCGAGGAAAUGCGUUAUAUUUGACGGUACCUGAUGAGAAAGCCCCGGCUAACUAUGUG